CCUACGGGAGACAGCAGUGAGGAAUAUUGGUCAAUGGCCGGAAGUCUGAACCAGCCAAGCCGCGUGAAGGACGAAGGUGCCAAGCAUUGUAAACUUCUUUUGUCAAGGGACAAAAUCAGGCUCGAGAGCCUGACCGAGGGUACUUGAAGAAAAAGCAUCGGCUAACUCAGUGCCAGCAGCCGCGGUAAUACGGAGGAUGCGAGCGUUAUCCGGAUUUAUUGGGUUUAAGGGGUGCGUAGGCGGACUGUUAAGUCAGCGGUAAAAGCCCGGGGCUCAACCCCGGCGAGCCGUUGAAACUGGCUGUCUUGAGAUGUCGAGAGGUAUGCGGAAUGCGCAGUGUAGCGGUGAAAUGCUUAGAUAUUGCGCAGAACUCCGAUUGCGAAGGCAGCAUACCGGCGGCGAUCUGACGCUGAGGCACGAAAGCGUGGGUAUCGAACAGGAUUAGAUACCCGUGUAGUC
rnacentral:rRNA from 1 species